UCCUACGGGAGGCUGCAGUGGGGAAUCUUAGACAAUGGGGGAAACCCUGAUCUAGCCAUGCCGCGUGAUCGAUGAAGGCCUUAGGGUUGUAAAGAUCUUUCAGGUGGGAAGAUAAUGACUGUACCACCAGAAGAAGCCCCGGCUAACUCCGUGCCAGCAGCCGCGGUAAUACGGAGGGGGCUAGCGUUGUUCGGAAUUACUGGGCGUAAAGCGCACGUAGGCGGAUCAGAAAGUCAGAGGUGAAAUCCCAGGGCUCAACCUUGGAACUGCCUUUGAAACUCCUGAUCUUGAGGUCGAGAGAGGUGAGUGGAAUUCCGAGUGUAGAGGUGAAAUUCGUAGAUAUUCGGAGGAACACCAGUGGCGAAGGCGGCUCACUGGCUCGAUACUGACGCUGAGGUGCGAAGUACGGGGGGAGCAAACAGGAUUAGAUACCCUUGUAGUCGAAUUCUU
rnacentral:rRNA from 1 species